GAACAGCUCCUUUAGAGGGCAAAGCCAGCCAAGUUGCCUUUUCAAACAAGCUUGACACACACUAUAUAAUUCAGCGACAUUGUAUUACUGCUAUUGAUGAGCUCUUAUCGUUGUCGAAUUGUAGUGCCCAAGCGUUUGACAGAUGCGAGGACAUAGUUGAGCUCUAAGGAAUUCUGGAAUUCAGGGUGGACCAGCAGGCUUGUUGCGUGAUUGUGC
rnacentral:lncRNA from 1 species